rnacentral:rRNA from 1 species
GCGACCGGCGCACGGGUGAGUAACGCGUAUCCAACCUGCCUUACACUCUUGGACAGCCUUCUGAAAGGGAGAUUAAUACAAGAUGUUAUCAUGAGUAAGCAUUUUCGCAUGAUUAAAGGUUUACCGGUGUAAGAUGGGGAUGCGUUCCAUUAGAUAGUAGGCGGGGUAACGGCCCACCUAGUCUUCGAUGGAUAGGGGUUCUGAGAGGAAGGUCCCCCACAUUGGAACUGAGACACGGUCCAAACUCCUACGGGAGGCAGCAGUGAGGAAUAUUGGUCAAUGGACGAGAGUCUGAACCAGCCAAGUAGCGUGAAGGAUGAAGGUUCUAUGGAUUGUAAACUUCUUUUAUACGGGAAUAAACGGAUCCACGUGUGGAUUUUUGCAUGUACCGUAUGAAUAAGGAUCGGCUAACUCCGUGCCAGCAGCCGCGGUAAUACGGAGGAUCCGAGCGUUAUCCGGAUUUAUUGGGUUUAAAGGGAGCGUAGAUGGGUUGUUAAGUCAGUUGUGAAAGUUUGCGGCUCAACCGUAAAAUUGCAAUUGAUACUGGCAGUCUUGAGUACAGUUGAGGUAGGCGGAAUUCGUGGUGUAGCGGUGAAAUGCUUAGAUAUCACGAAGAACUCCGAUUGCGAAGGCAGCUUACUAACCUGUAACUGACAUUGAUGCUCGAA